rnacentral:tRNA from 1 species
GGAGUUGUGGCUCAGAGGUAGAGCACUUGCCUAGUAUGCUUGAGGCACUGGGUUCGAUUCUCAGCACCG